rnacentral:rRNA from 1 species
GACGAACGCUGGCGGCGUGCCUAAUACAUGCAAGUAGAACGCAGUUGCGAACGGGUGAGUAACGCGUAGGUAACUGCCUCAUAGCGGGGGAUAACUAUUGGAAACGAUAGCUAAUACCGCAUACUGUGAGAUGGACCUGCGUUGUAUUGACUAGUUUGUGAGGUAAAGGCUCACCAAGGCGACGAUACAUAGCCGACCUGAGAGGGGGAUCGGCCAAACUGGUACUGAGACACGGCCCGGACUCUUAGGGGAGGCAGCAGUGGGGAAUCUUCGGCAAUGGACGGAAGUCUGGCCGAGCAACGCGGCGUGAGGGAAGAGGGUUGUCGGAUCUUAAAACUCUGUUGUUAGAAAAGCGGUAUCUAACCAGAAAGCCACGGCUAACUACGUGCCAGCAGCCGCGGUAAUUC